rnacentral:rRNA from 1 species
UGCAGCAACGCCGCGUGGAGGAUGACACAUUUCGGUGCGUAAACUCCUUUUAUAUAGGAAGAUAAUGACGGUACUAUAUGAAUAAGCGCCGGCUAACUCCGUGCCAGCAGCCGCGGUAAUACGGAGGGCGCAAGCGUUACUCGGGAUCACUGGGCGUAAAGAGCGUGUAGGCGGGUUAAUAAGUUUGAAGUGAAAUCCUAUGGCUCAACCAUAGAACUGCUUUGAAAACUGUUAACCUAGAGUAUGGGAGAGGUAGAUGGAAUUUCUGGUGUAGGGGUAAAAUCCGUAGAGAUCAGAAGGAAUACCGAUUGCGAAGGCGAUCUACUGGAACAUUACUGACGCUGAGACGCGAAAGCGUGGGAAGCAAACAGGAUUAGAUACCCUGGUAGUCCACGCCCUAAACGAUGUACACCAGUUGUUGUGAGGCUAGACCUUGCAGUAAUGCAGUUAACACAUUAAGUGUACCGCCUGGGGAAUACGGUCGCAAGAUUAAAACUCAAAUGAAUUGACGGGGA